rnacentral:lncRNA from 1 species
CUCCAUGAAAACUGAGAACAAGAGCUCUUGGCCAAGAAUUUAGUCAAGUCCCUUCCAGAAAGUUCAGGAAGUAAGAGAACAUCCACUAAGAGAGGAGCAACUUGCCCUGAGUGCCUACUACUUGACAAGCACGAAAACUACAUCAUUCUUCAUCCUUACAAAAUCUUUAGACUGGGUAACAGCAUUCCCAUUAUAUGAAGAAACUGAGGAGGCAGCCCUGUCCGAAGCCUGGGUCAAGUUAACAAUCCUCCCUGCAAACCCACGCUGAGUGUCCAUUCAGCAUACUCAGGAGCUGACCAAAGAGGGUGCUGGCUCCCCUGCUCCUUCCUCCAGUCUGGUGCACCAUGAUGACUGUUUGGAAGUUGACUUUGAUAGACAAGAGGAUGUUUGUGCACUGCUGGAAGAGACUGUGAAGGGUGAGUCAGAAAAAGGCUGGGAAACAGAUGAGGGGGCAGAGAGAUGGGAAGUUUGUAGCCAGGAGACAACUUAGGGAAUGUCUGGGAAAUGAGGAGGAGGGGAGGCUGGGAAAGGGUCAACGAGCAGUGGCUUAUCUGAAAAUCCUUUAGUAUAAAAACAACAGAGGAAGACUUAUUUGGUGUUGUUUAUUUACCUACUACAAGUUGACACUGAGGGGUAGGUGAGCAGCCCCUAUCUCUGUUUUCUCAUCUUCUAAGGGAGCAUAAAUUUCCUUCCUGACUCUUUCAGACAAGCCCUUCUUUCCUUGGCAAAUCACUGGUCUUCUUCACCUCAAUGUGCCCAAAGCAGGAACACAGACAUUUGGAGCUGGAAUGUGCAUGAAGAAAUUCUAAGAGGGCAUGGGUGGAAACAGGAGGACCAGUCUGAAGGUCUCUGCAAUCUAGUGACCAAUGAGAGUGGUCUAGACAGGGGGUUACAGAGGAGGUGGUGAGAGGUGGUUGGAUUCCAGAUGCAUUUGAAGGCAGAAGUCAGCUUUCCACAGAUGCCUUGCCUAGAAACAUCACUGACCUUUUAGAUUUCCCUUCAGUAUUCCCCUCUCUGUGGUUUGUAUUCUUGAACUGGAGGGCUCAGUUUCUUAUAGCAACAAGGUGAGUUGGGGUAUGGACAGAUGAAGACAGAUCCAUCUCUGAUCCUGGAGACACCAUUCGAAGGGCACAUCUUCCUAAUGAAAAUCAGCCAGCAACAUCAAAGGAAGUUAAGUCCAGCUCAACACUCCACUUUUCCAGGAAGCCUCACUCUCCACAGUGUGAUGGCUUCCUUCUAUGAGCUCAACGGCAGUCUCAUCUAUAGUAAUAACAUCCUACCUGACAUGAGUAUAGUACUUUACAAUUCUUUCAUACCAUUUGGGGAGGUUCUUCCUAACCCCUCGAUUAAGGUGGGCCCCCUGUUGUAUGUUCCCAUAGGACCUUAUUCUUCUCCUAUUCCAAUUUUCACUAUAUGUUAUUGUAGAUGCUUGUUUAAUUACUUGUCUUUCCCGCUAGAUUGAAAAGCUUUAUGAGGAAAAGACAAUGUUAUAGCCUUAGUACCUACCACAGUGCCUGGCUCAUAAGAAGCAUUCAGCAUAUCCCUACAAUUGAAUGGAUAAAUGAUCAUUAACUCUUUUAAUCUUCAAAACAAUUAUUCCAAAGUGGGUGGUACUGACUCCACUUCAUUGAUGAGGUGAAGGAGCUGCUGAGAGACUAUGGUCACAUAGCAAGUUAGCAGAGGAACUGGGAAUAGUACCAGGGUCUAGGCUUUUUCCACUACACUCUACCUGGAACAAAAAAAAAAAAUCCAUUCAUUUAAUCAAUCAAUAUAUACUUAUUGAUUAUUCUCUAUGUCAGGCUCUAUUGUAUGCUGAUAGAAGGACAAACAAAAAAAAGGUCAGAUUUGCAUUUGGAUGCUAUUAAAAGAAACCAAAUGCAGGGAAACGGACAUACAAACACAUAAUUGUAUUAGAGUGUAAUAAAUACCACAGAAGCUCUAGGAGGACUGUCUAACUCUGCUCAUAGGAGGAAUGUCCAACUCUACCUUUAAUAGGUUCCAUUUGAUCUGGGUUUAAAAAAAAAAAUAGGCCGGGCACGGUGGCUCAUGCCUACAAUCCCAGCACUUUGGGAGGCCAAGGCAGG